CCCGGGAGAGGGGAGAGAAAGUGCUGAGCCUCCCGUGGAGGGGAGGGGCACUUAGGAGAGCUCAGGAGGAGGCAGGCCUGGUGCUGAGGUGCAGUGAGGCCCAGCCCGUGGAGGAGGAGGACACCGGCUCUACAGCACAGAUUACACCCCACACGUGUUGCUGUCCUGCUUGGAACAUUCUUUCCUGCUUAUCCUUUGCUGCCCGCCCACCCUCCAUCAUCCCGACUCAAGGACAGCACUGAAGAUUCUGACUGCUCAGAUUCGGCUCAGUGUCCCUUCCAAGGACUCUUACAACACCCUGUGCUUUUCCUUCCGAGCAACUGAUAUGGUUGAAAUUACAUGAUUACAACACA